CACUUAUUUUAUUAUUAUAUUAAUAAAGAUAGAUAUCGUUUUGAGCACGCAACUUCUCAUUUGAACUUUCCCGCUAUUUUGUUUCCGUUGCUCCUUCGGAACUUUUCUCCGAUGAUAAACAAAAUUUCCUCUUCGAUUUUUCUCUGUUCGCCUUCAAUUUCCAGCGUCUCUCUCCUUUCCUCAGUUCCAUCGUCUCUGUCUUCGAAGCCCUAAAUCCUCUGGUCGAUCAGAUCCUGCCAGAACCCUAAAUUGUUCAUUUGAUCACAUCCCUAUGGAACUUUAAAUCGUUCUCUUCGUUAGAUCCAACUGAGUCAGACCCUCGAUCACCCACGAUGAGAUGUCGACGUAGUGGAAGUGUUCGAUCCUACCUCGACGGCAUCUGACGAAUGAUUAAAAUUUCUACCGUCGGAGACAAAUUCCAUCACCGCCAUCCCAGGGCGCAGCCGUCAUCCUCAGAUCGUUCCACACAGGAGGUUGGUAGAUUCAGAGAGAGGACCCAUAAUCGAAUCCAGUUAAGAAAGACCGAAGAUUGUGGAUUUGUCAAUCGAUGGGUUUUGUGAGUGGACAUUGGAUCGAAGCCACACGAAAUAGUUUUUUCGUGUUAUGGUUGUGGACAGUUACCUUCCUGCCUCGGGAUCUCGGAAAAUAUGCUUCGGACUUGCUGCUGCUGUGCUGAUGGAUGAUGGUUGAAUAAAUGAACUUGCCGGUGCUUCGUGUUCGGGGAACGAAAUGGAUGAUGGUUGAAUAAACAAACCUACUGGUGCUUCAUGUUCAGGGAACAAGAUUAUUAUGUUCGAGAUCUGUUGCAGUUUGAGUGCUUCUUAAAAUUACAAAUAAUUGGGAGUCAAUUAGGCAAAUGGAUCAGUUGUUUGAACUCAGCUUGCGGGGGAAUUCUGCACUGCUUUGAGAAUGACAGCGAGCUAAAAAAUGCUAGGAAUAUUGGCAGUGAGUUUAAGGGCAUCGUUGAAAAGUUCUAAUACUUUUUGCAGUUCAACACUAUGCAUCUUAUGUUUCUUUCUUGGGAACUGUCGUGCGUCACCUAUGCCCUAAUGGAAUGCAACUUCUAAGGACUGUGGAAAGAUUAUGUUCUUAUGACUGAAUUUCUUGAAGUCGAUUUGAAGGUGAAGUGAUAAUACUCUGGCACAAAGAUCUAUUUCCUUCAAUUACUCAGAUCAGUGGUUUUUCACAAUUCAUUGCCCAAAACUUUGUUUUGAUCCCUUUGCAGACUUUGGUGAGUGCUCAAACUCCUAAUUGAUUUGGCAAACAUGGAAAUUUUACAUAAUUUAUAUAUAUAUAUAUAUGCAUGGAAUACCAGUAAGCUCCCUCAUUCCU